UACGGAGGGUGCAAGCGUUAAUCGGAAUUACUGGGCGUAAAGCGCGCGUAGGCGGUCUUGUAAGUCGGAUGUGAAAUCCCCGGGCUCAACCUGGGAACUGCAUUCGAUACUGCUCGACUAGAGUAUGGAAGAGGGAAGGGGAAUUCCGGGUGUAGCGGUGAAAUGCGUAGAUAUCCGGAGGAACACCAGUGGCGAAGGCGCCUUCCUGGGCCAAUACUGACGCUGAGGCGCGAAAGCGUGGGGAGCAAACAGG
rnacentral:rRNA from 2 species